rnacentral:rRNA from 1 species
AUUGAACGCUGGCGGCAGGCCUAACACAUGCAAGUCGAACGAGUGGCGGACGGGUGAGUAAUGUCUGGGAAACUGCCUGAUGGAGGGGGAUAACUACUGGAAACGGUAGCUAAUACCGCAUACCAUCGGAUGUGCCCAGAUGGGAUUGGCUAGUAGGUGGGGUAAAGGCUCACCUAGGCGACGAUCCCUAGCUGGUCUGAGAGGAUGACCGGCGACACGGGAACUGGGACACGGUCCAUAGUCCUACGGUGGGCAGCAGUGGGGAAUAGUGCACAAUGGGUGCAAGAGUGAUGCAGCCAGGCCGCGUGUAUGAAGAAUGCCUUCGGGUUGUAAAGUACGUUCAGCGGGGAGGCGGUACCCGAAGAAGAAGCACCUGCUAACUCCGUGCCAGCAGCCGCGGUAAUAC